AUUGAACGCUGGCGGAAUGCUUUACACAUGCAAGUCGAACGGCAGCACGGGGGCAACCCUGGUGGCGAGUGGCGAACGGGUGAGUAAUACAUCGGAACGUGCCCAGUCGUGGGGGAUAACGUAGCGAAAGUUACGCUAAUACCGCAUACGAUCUACGGAUGAAAGCGGGGGACCGUAAGGCCUCGCGCGAUUGGAGCGGCCGAGGGCAGAUUAGGUAGUUGGUGAGGUAAAGGCUCACCAAGCCGACGAUCUGUAGCUGGUCUGAGAGGACGACCAGCCACACUGGGACUGAGACACGGCCCAGACUCCUACGGGAGGCAGCAGUGGGGAAUUUUGGACAAUGGGCGCAAGCCUGAUCCAGCCAUUCCGCGUGCAGGACGAAGGCCUUCGGGUUGUAAACUGCUUUUGUACGGAACGAAAAGGCUCUGGUUAAUACCUGGGGCUCAGGACGGUACCGUAAGAAUAAGCACCGGCUAACUACGUGCCAGCAGCCGCGGUAA
rnacentral:rRNA from 1 species